ACUUUUAAAGCUCCACGUCACCUGAGACGACACCAACAGAUCCACACCAGAAAGACACUCAACAAGUGCAGUUACUGUGAGAAGCAGAGCGACACAGAUGGAUCCAGUUCUCAACCCUGUCAUCACUGUGGGGGUGGGAAAGACUUUCGUUGUGACCUCUGUGGAAAAAUUUUUAGUCAGCAAAAGAACCUAAAAAUACAUCAACGUAGACACACUGGAGACAAACUGAAAUACUGCAAAGAAUGUGGGAGAAGCUUCACCACAUCACGUGACUUAAAA